rnacentral:tRNA from 1 species
GGUAGGGUGGCCGAAUGUCUAGGUGGCGGGUUGUAGCCCCGUGAACAGAGGUUUAAAUCCUCUCCCUAUCA